GGUGGCUCAGUGGUAGAGUGCUUGCCUUGCAUGCAUGCAUGAGACCUUAGGUUCAAUUCCUCAGCACCA
rnacentral:tRNA from 1 species